rnacentral:lncRNA from 1 species
UCCACUUCAUUCAUCCAGCUUAUAUUCUAUGGUUAAGAUCUCCAUCUAAUUCUCCGUUCUUUUACAAGAUAGAUCCUAGGUAGCAAAAACGGUCGCUCUUUGGUAUUUCCUGAUCUCCAAUCCUCACCCCUAACUCAUUUUGGCCUCCAUUUGCUCUGAACUUGCACUCCAUAUAUUCUGUCUUUGAUCGGCUUAGGCGAAGACCUUUAGAUUCCAACACUUCUCUCCAGAGGUUAAGCUUCGCAUUUACCCCUUCCUGAGUUUCAUCUAUUAACACUAUAUCAUUUGUGAAAAGCAUACACCAAGGAAUAUCAUCUUGAAUAUGUCCUGUUAACUCAUCCAUUACCAACACAAAAAGGUAAGGACUUAAGGAUUGUUGAUGCACAAAAUCAGUGAGGACUUUGGUACAACAGAAAAAAUUAAGUUUGUGAUCUUUGCUAGAUUGCUCCGGUCAUUAGUGUGGAUAAGUAUGUAAAUGGAUAGAGACAGGAAAGCAAACACAAGAUGUACAUGGUUCACCCAGAUUGGCUACGUCCACGUAGUAGAGGAGUUCUCAUUAAAUGUGAAGGGUUUACACAAGUACAUAGGUUCAAGCUCUCCUUUAGUGAGUACAAGUGAAUGAUUUACUACAAAUGACAUUAGGAAAUAUUGUGGGAGAAUGAUCUCGUAAUCAAGAAACUUCUAAGUACCGAAGUGUGGUAUCGUCUUCACUUGCCUUAUCUGUCUCAUAGGUAGAUGUGGCAUCUUCUCUAGAAGUACUUUUCCUCCAUCCAGGGGUGGUAUCUUUAACUG